AACCCCGCCUGUUUACCAAAAACAUCACCUCUAGCAUAAUCAGUAUUAGAGGAACUGCCUGCCAAGUGACACAUGUUUAACCCAUACAAAGGUAGCAUAAUCACUUGUUCUUUAAAUAGGGACUAGUAUGAAUGGCUUGACAAGGGUU
rnacentral:rRNA from 1 species